rnacentral:tRNA from 1 species
GGAAUUGUGCCUGAAUCAAAGGGUCACUUUGAUAGAGUGAACUAUGGAGGUUAAAAUCCUCCCAACUCCU